GACGAACGCUGGCGGCGUGCCUAAUACAUGCAAGUCGAGCGGACAGAAGGGAGCUUGCUCCCGGAAGUUAGCGGCGGACGGGUGAGUAACACGUGGGCAACCUACCCUGUAGAUCGGGAUAACAUCGGGAAAUCGGUGCUAAUACCGGAUAAUCAUUUGAAGUGCAUGCUUCAAAUGUAAAAGAUGGCUCCGGCUAUCACUACGGGAUGGGCCCGCGGCGCAUUAGCUGGUUGGUAAGGUAAUGGCUUACCAAGGCAACGAUGCGUAGCCGACCUGAGAGGGUGAUCGGCCACACUGGGACUGAGACACGGCCCAGACUCCUACGGGAGGCAGCAGUAGGGAAUCUUCCGCAAUGGACGAAAGUCUGACGGAGCAACGCCGCGUGAGUGAUGAAGGUUUUCGGAUCGUAAAGCUCUGUUGUUAGGGAAGAACAAGUGCCGUUUGAAUAAGGCGGCACCUUGACGGUACCUAACCAGAAAGCCACGGCUAACUACGUGCCAGCCGCCGCGGUAAAAC
rnacentral:rRNA from 1 species